AGAAGUUUAGGUUAAACAAAACCNAGGGCCUUCAAAGCCCUAAACAAGAGACACCACCCUCCUAACUUCUG
rnacentral:tRNA from 1 species